AGUCGAACGGUAACAUGAGAGCUUGCUCUUGAUGACGAGUGGCGCACGGGUGCGUAACGCGUAUGCAACCUACCCUUUACUGGAGGAUAGCCCGGAGAAAUUCGGAUUAAUACUCCAUAGUUCCUAAAGACUUCAUGGUUUAUAGGACAAAGAUUUAUUGGUAAAGGAUGGGCAUGCGUGACAUUAGUUAGUUGGUGAGGUAACGGCUCACCAAGACGAUGAUGUCUAGGGGUUCUGAGAGGAUGAUCCCCCACACUGGUACUGAGACACGGACCAGACUCCUACGGGAGGCAGCAGUAGGGAAUAUUGGUCAAUGGGCGAGAGCCUGAACCAGCCAUGCCGCGUGUAGGAAGACGGCCUUCUGGGUUGUAAACUACUUUUAUAUAGGAACAAAUAGACCAUGCGUGGUAAGUUGAGUGUACUAUAUGAAUAAGCACCGGCUAACUCCGUGCCAGCAGCCGCGGUAAUACGGAGGGUGCAAGCGUUGUCCGGAUUUAUUGGGUUUAAAGGGUGCGUAGGUGGCGUGUUAAGUCAGUGGUGAAAGCCUGCAGCUCAACUGUAGAGGUGCCAUUGAUACUGACAUGCUUGAGUAUGGAUGAGGUAGGCGGAAUUUGUGGUGUAGCGGUGAAAUGCAUAGAUACCACAAAGAACACCGAUAGCGAAGGCAGCUUACUGGACCAUAACUGACACUAAGGCACGAAAGUGUGGGUAGCGAACAGGAUUAGAUACCCUGGUAGUCCACACCGUAAACGAUGCUCACUCGAUGUAUGCGAUACACUGUAUGCGUCCAAGCGAAAGCGUUAAGUGAG
rnacentral:rRNA from 1 species